UACGUAGGGGGCAAGCGUUGUCCGGAUUUAUUGGGCGUAAAGAGCGUGUAGGCGGCCUGGAAGGUCCGUUGUGAAAACUCGAGGCUCAACCUCGAGACGUCGAUGGAAACCCUCAGGCUAGAGUCCGGAAGAGGAGAGUGGAAUUCCUGGUGUAGCGGUGAAAUGCGCAGAUAUCAGGAAGAACACCUAUGGCGAAGGCAGCUCUCUGGGACGGUACUGACGCUGAGAAGCGAAAGCAUGGGGAGCGAACAGG
rnacentral:rRNA from 1 species